rnacentral:lncRNA from 1 species
UUUCUCUCCCAUGUUCAUAAACACUUGAACAAUGAAAUUCUCAAGUCUGGUGCUCCUACUUAGUGAUGCUUGUGUCUCAUGCUGCUGUGCUGCAUCUAAGCUUAGCUGCAUGAUGUUGUAGAUGCAGAAAUUACUUAACCCGGUGCUGCAAGUGUGACUGCAUGAUCAGGCUGCAAGGCAAAGUGACUAAGUCCUCUUCUGCUCAUUUUGGAAUUGAGAGUUCAAGCCACUUGUCACUUCCAACCUACUGGGUUGCUUCUCAGCUCUUGAACUGUACAUGGAGAUUCCUAAUUCUUCAAGAGAAGAAAUUCUGGAUGCAUGUGUGUGCUCUGACUGUGUCUUCUGAACAAAGGCAAAGGGCCUCCCUAAAGCCUUGGUCUCCAUGUCCUGAGGAGCACUGGCUGAAAUGCAUUUGAACUCAUGUCCUGGAUGAUCAUCUGAGAAGGGGAUUCCUCUCUGCAGUCAAGAACCAUAUGAGCUAACAAAUAUCAUGUUAUGGAAGAACUUUGCUCACAGUCAUAGUUGACUUUCUGUUAUGAAACCUGAUUAUAUUAUUCAAUUUUCUUGGAGAAAGGCCUCAGUCUUACUGAAUUCUUUUUUUGACUUUUCUUACUCUCUGUUCAGAAAUUUUUGUUAUUGUAUGCAUUAAACAUCACAUGUUGCAAAAUAGGCAUGUAUAUUAAAUUAAAAAUAAAUAAAUCAAUAAAACAGGUAUGGUAGUGUAC